rnacentral:rRNA from 1 species
CACGUAGGGGACGAGCGUUGUCCGGAUUCAUUGGGCGUAAAGCGCGCGUAGGCGGCUCGGAAAGUCGGUCGUGAAAUGCCGGGGCUCAACCCCGGGACUGCGUCCGAUACUCUCGAGCUGGAGGCAGGUAGGGGAGAUCGGAAUUCCUGGUGUAGCGGUGAAAUGCGCAGAUAUCGGGAGGAACACCUAUGGCGAAGGCAGCUCGCUGGGACGUUACUGACGCUGAGACGCGAAAGCGUGGGGAGCAAACAGG